UUCAGAUUUUGUCAUAUCUAUACUUUGAUUAGCAAAAUAAAAAAUAUGAAAACUUUGGGCAAAUCAAAACUGUAUAUUUUGUUUUCGGCGAUUUUGAUUGUUUUAGGUGAAAGCCAAACAAAACAAAACAAAAACAUGAUCAUGCUGCGCGCCAACAUUGUUUCGGCCAAAUAUUUUUUUCACCGCUAAGCAACACCUAAAAAAAACUUUUGAAAAAAAACAACUAAUUAAGUUAAUUACAACAACAAGUCAAUGAACCUUCGUUGAAAAGAUAGGCUUGUCUCGAUGAUUAUAAUUGGAAUGGCUAAAUUUACCGCGACCAAUUGAAUAACAAGCAAACGGACGGAAGUGUACGCUUGAAUAAGUGGUAUAUCGUCAAAAUUGAAAAUACAGGUUAAAACACGCGUGACCAAAAUUGAAUAAUCAUUACAAGUGUGGCCAAUGGCUAUUUCUCUACAGGCGGCCGCUUCGACAACAAGAAAAUUGUUCCAUCAUCAUUCUAAAUCUA